GGGCAGCGGUUUCAUGGGUACUCGUGUGCACCUGUGGAGCAGCCCUCCCGUGUGCACGUGUAUGUGGCUCCCAGCAGGCAGACCCUGAACUCAGAGGAGCCAGCGCCUCCAGGGCGGCCCUUCCUCCCCUUCUCCCCUAGCCCUCAUCCCGGGCCCAGCCCUCCCCACCGCCGAGUGUCAGGCACAGAUGGGACUUUGGUGCCCUUCAUGCAUCAGGCCUCAGUUUCCCCCUUAGGCCCAGGUGGGCUGGGAUGAACUUCACCAUGGCAGAGGAGGUCUGGGAGAAUUGUGCCUCAGCUCUGUCAUCUCUGUCCUUGUCCCCCCAUUUCUGCCUCCCCCUACCUCGGACAGGAUCCUCUUUCAGAACACAGGGAGAGCUUGGGAGGACCUGGAAGCCAGGAUCAACGCCGAGAACGAGGUGCCCAUCCUGAAGACAUCUAACAAGGAAAUCAGCUCCAUCCUGAAGGAACUGAGGCGGGUGCAGAAACAGCUGGAAGUUAUCAAUGCCAUCGUGGACCCCAGUGGGAGCCUGGACCUGCUCACAGGAAACAGGAGCUUGGCCAGCUCUGCACAGCCGGGGCUGGGGAAGGGCCGCGUGGCUGCCCAGAGCCCACCCUCACCCGCCUCAGCCGAGGCCCUGCUGCCAGCCCUGCCCCUGAGGAAUUUCCCACAGCGGGCCAGCUGUGGGCCUCCCAGCCUCCCGGACCCCACCUUCCUCCCUGAUGCCGAGAGGUUCCUGAUCUAGGCCCCAGACCUGGCCAGGCCAGCCUCCCUGUGCGUGUGCGUCUCUGCCUUCCGUCCGCCGCACACCCGCCUGCCUGGCCGCAGGUGGUUCUCCCUGAAGAC
rnacentral:lncRNA from 1 species